ensembl:snRNA U6 U6 spliceosomal RNA
GUGUUCUCUCCAGCAGCACAUAUACUAAAAUUGUAAUGAUACAGAGACGAUUAGCAUAGCCCCUGCCCAAGGAUGACAUGCAAAUUCUACUGGUCUAGUGGGGUGAG